rnacentral:rRNA from 1 species
UACGUAGGCAGCAAGCGUUGUUCGGAGUUACUGGGCGUAAAGGGUGUGUAGGCGGCUUGGCAAGUUUGAGGUGAAAUCUCCCGGCUUAACUGGGAGGGGGCCUCGAAAACUGCCAGGCUUGAGGCAUGGAGAGGGAUGCGGAAUUCCCGGUGUAGUGGUGAAAUGCAUAGAUAUGUCACGGAACACCAAUUGCGAAGGCAGCUUGCUAUGGUAUAAUUGACGCUGAGGCACGAAAGCGUGGGGAUCAAACAGG